rnacentral:rRNA from 1 species
AUUGAACGCUGGCGGCACGCCUAACACAUGCAAGUCGAGCGGCAGCGAGACUAGUAGCAAUACUAGUUGUCGGCGAGCGGCGGACGGGUGAGUAACACGUAGGAAUCUGCCCUUAAGCGGGGGAUAACCAAGGGAAACUUUGGCUAAUACCGCAUAAUCUCGAGAGAGCAAAGCUGCCCGCAAGGGUGGCACUUGAGGAGGAGCCUGCGUCCGAUUAGCUAGUUGGUGGGGUAAUGGCCUACCAAGGCGAUGAUCGGUAACUGGUCUGAGAGGACGACCAGUCACACUGGGACUGAGACACGGCCCAGACUCCUACGGGAGGCAGCAGUGGGGAAUAUUGGACAAUGGGGGCAACCCUGAUCCAGCGAUGCCGCGUGAGUGAAGAAGGCCUUCGGGUCGUAAAGCUCUUUAGGUUGGGAAGAAGGGUAUUGGCUGAAUAAUCCAGUACUUUGACGGUACCGACAGAAUAAGCACCGGCAAACUCUGUGCCAGCAGCCGCCGUAACAC